UAAUGGGCCUAGCAGAUGAUUAAGUCGAAAUUAUUAAAGUGAUAAGGUUUUCAUAAGUCAAAAAGUGAAAUGUGUCAAAUUUUGAUACAAUAAGGUCAAAUCAUUGAAAAUAAAGGAUUGUCAUCAACCUUAUCACUUUCCAUGACCAAGACUCUGAAAAACAAAGAGAAAAGAAAACCAAAAAUCAUUUCUUGGCUAGCUUGAAGAGAUUCUAAGGAGAUCCAAGUGAAAUCAAAGCCAAAGAAGUGGAUUAAGCUUAGUUUUGACUUUUUAUGGUAAGUUCUUGUACUUGGAAGUUAAACAACGUUUUUUUAAUUUUGCUGAGAGCUUAUCUAUAGUUUUUUUAUAUUUUUUUAAGAUAUUUCUCGGUAGUUUCCAAGUGGUUUGAGGUUUAGAAAAGCUAGAAGAGAUUGUUUUCGUCGAAAAGUUGCUCGGAUAAGUACAUCAACACCUAAGACACCCUUUGUUACACGGUGAAAUAUAUUUUGGACAGAAGGUAGAAAAAGAAAUAAGUGAAUGACAAAGAAGAGAACUAAAGCAUGGUCAUGACCCUGAUUUGUACAUAUGAACAUAUUGACCUUUUGUGGGUUAUUUCAGUUUAUCAAUGUGUAUGUUUGUAAUAAAGUGUGGAGUUAUGUUUUGAAUCGGUUAUUUAAUACUUAUGUAUAAUAUGUUUGAGA